rnacentral:rRNA from 1 species
AGAGUUUGAUUCUGGCUCAGAACGAACGCUGGCGGCGUGGAUAAGACAUGCAAGUCGAACGAGAGAAUUGCUAGCUUGCUAAUAAUUCUCUAGUGGCGCACGGGUGAGUAACACGUGAGUAACCUGCCCCCGAGAGCGGGAUAGCCCUGGGAAACUGGGAUUAAUACCGCAUAGUAUCGAAAGAUUAAAGCAGCAAUGCGCUUGGGGAUGGGCUCGCGGCCUAUUAGUUAGUUGGUGAGGUAACGGCUCACCAAGGCGAUGACGGGUAGCCGGUCUGAGAGGAUGUCCGGCCACACUGGAACUGAGACACGGUCCAGACACCUACGGGUGGCAGCAGUCGAGAAUCAUUCACAAUGGGGGAAACCCUGAUGGUGCGACGCCGCGUGGGGGAAUGAAGGUCUUCGGAUUGUAAACCCCUGUCAUGUGGGAGCAAAUUAAAAAGAUAGUACCACAAGAGGAAGAGACGGCUAACUCUGUGCCAGCAGCCGCGGUAAUACAGAGGUCUCAAGCGUUGUUCGGAAUCACUGGGCGUAAAGCGUGCGUAGGCUGUUUCGUAAGUCGUGUGUGAAAGGCGCGGGCUCAACCCGCGGACGGCACAUGAUACUGCGAGACUAGAGUAAUGGAGGGGGAACCGGAAUUCUCGGUGUAGCAGUGAAAUGCGUAGAUAUCGAGAGGAACACUCGUGGCGAAGGCGGGUUCCUGGACAUUAACUGACGCUGAGGCACGAAGGCCAGGGGAGCGAAAGGGAUUAGAUACCCCUGUAGUCCUGGCAGUAAACGGUGCACGCUUGGUGUGCGGGGAAUCGACCCCCUGCGUGCCGGAGCUAACGCGUUAAGCGUGCCGCCUGGGGAGUACGGUCGCAAGAUUAAAACUCAAAGAAAUUGACGGGGACCCGCACAAGCGGUGGAGUAUGUGGCUUAAUUCGAUGCAACGCGAAGAACCUUACCUGGGCUUGACAU